rnacentral:rRNA from 1 species
AUUGAACGCUGGCGGCAGGCCUAACACAUGCAAGUCGAGCGGAGCGGCGGACGGGUGAGUCAUGCCUAUGAAUCUGCCUGGUCGUGGGGGACAACGUCCGGAAACGGGCGCUAAUACCGCCUAAUAUCAGAUGAGCCUAGGUCGGAGUAGCUAGUUGGUGGGGUAAAGGCUUACCAAGUCGACGAUCCGUACCUGGUCUGAGAGGAUGAUCAGUCACACUGGAACGGAGACACGGUCCAGACUCCUACGGGAGGCAGCAGUGGGGAAUAUUGGGCAAUGGGCGAAAGCCUGAUCCAGCCAUGCCGCGUGUGUGAAGAAGGGCUUCGGAUUGUAAAGCUCUUUAAGUUGGGAGGCGUUACCAACAGAAUAAGCACCGGCUAACUACGUGCCAGCAGCCGCGGUAAUUC